rnacentral:rRNA from 1 species
UACAGAGGGUGCGAGCGUUGUCCGGAGUUACUGGGCGUAAAGGGUGCGCAGGCGGCCUGGCGCGUCGCGAGUGAAAUCUCCUGGCUCAACUGGGGGGGUGGUCGCGAGACGGCUGGGCUUGAGGCUCGGUGAGGGGCGUGGAAUUCCGGGUGGAGCGGUGAAAUGCGCAGAUAUCGGGAGGAACACCGGUGGCGAAGGCGGUUCUCUGGGCCUGUACUGACGCUGAGGAGCGAAAGCGUGGGGAGCGAACAGG